ACACUCCUGCGGGAGGCAGCAGUGGGGAAUAUCGCACAAUGGGCGCAAGCCUGAUGCAGCCAUGCCGCGUGUAUGAAGAAGGCCUUCGGGUUGUAAAGUACUUUCAGCGGGGAGGAAGGCGAUAAGGUUAAUAACCUUGUCGAUUGACGUUACCCGCAGAAGAAGCACCGGCUAACUCCGUGCCAGCAGCCGCGGUAAUACGGAGGGUGCAAGCGUUAAUCGGAAUUACUGGGCGUAAAGCGCACGCAGGCGGUCUGUCAAGUCGGAUGUGAAAUCCCCGGGCUCAACCUGGGAACUGCAUUCGAAACUGGCAGGCUAGAGUCUUGUAGAGGGGGGUAGAAUUCCAGGUGUAGCGGUGAAAUGCGUAGAGAUCUGGAGGAAUACCGGUGGCGAAGGCGGCCCCCUGGACAAAGACUGACGCUCAGGUGCGAAAGCGUGGGGAGCAAACAGGAUUAGAUACCCCAGUAGUCCCAUGA
rnacentral:rRNA from 1 species